AAAUAAUUUCAUAUCUUUGAGUAUGUCUAGACUGCAUCCCUCUGUCAGCAGAGGGAUGCAGAU
rnacentral:snRNA from 1 species